GCGACCGCUGUCACGCUGUGCUCUUGUCUUCCUCUCCUCCGGUUUGGUGCUGGAGUGCCGGAUAGUGUGAUGUCGUCCUGUCAUGGGCUACAGUGGGCUCGGCCGCCUGCCUCCCUCUCCAUGAAUUCUAUGCUCACCGUCGGUUUUGGGCAUGGAUGGAAGAAGGGGAUUGGGAAAUGAAUGGUGAUAGCCAUCCUUGGUGAGCACAGAAAGCAGUACUGUGACAUGUUCUUCCCCCAUUCUAUUUGGAAUCCUGAUAAAGAUGGCUGGUGGCUGUGGCUCUUCGUUCAGGCAAGCUGCUUUUCUUUUCUCCAUUGCAGAUUAUGCUCGUGGAUCAGCAGCUCAUUGUCCAAACUAUACUGUACAAUGUUACCAGCACAGAACAAUCAUUAUCUAAAAGUACAAAGACACAUCCAGAUCCAGCACUACAAUAUAGGGAUAGCAUCUCAGGUUUAGUUAA